rnacentral:rRNA from 1 species
GACGAGCGCUGGCGGCGUGCCUAAUACAUGCAAGUUGAGCGCUGAAGGUUGGUACUUGUACCCACUGGAUGAGCAGCGAACGGGUGAGUAACGCGUGGGGAAUCUGCCUUUGAGCGGGGGACAACAUUUGGAAACGAAUGCUAAUACCGCAUAAAAACUUUAAACACAAGUUUUAAGUUUGAAAGAUGCAAUUGCAUCACUCAAAGAUGAUCCCGCGUUGUAUUAGCUAGUUGGUGAGGUAAAGGCUCACCAAGGCGAUGAUACAUAGCCGACCUGAGAGGGUGAUCGGCCACAUUUGGACUGAGACACGGCCCAAACUCCUACGGGAGGCAGCAGUAGGGAAACAUCGGCAAAGGACGAAAGGCUGAACGAGCAACGCCGCGGGAGUGAAGAAGGGUUUCGGAUCGGAAAACUCUGUUGGUAGAGAAGAACGUUGGUGAGAGUGGAAAGCUCAUCAAGUGACGGUAACUACACAGAAAGGGACGGCUAACUACGUG